rnacentral:rRNA from 2 species
UUAAAUUGAAGAGUUUGAUCAUGGCUCAGAUUGAACGCUGGCGGCAGGCCUAACACAUGCAAGUCGAACGGUAACAGGAAGCAGCUUGCUGCUUCGCUGACGAGUGGCGGACGGGUGAGUAAUGUCUGGGAAACUGCCUGAUGGAGGGGGAUAACUACUGGAAACGGUAGCU